GCUGUUUUCUCCCCCCCCUCCUCCUCCUUUCCUGCUUCUUCCCCUCAGAGGCCCGCCGCCCGCCGGCAACUCCUCCAGCCCAGCAAGCGCGGCCAGCGGCGGCCUCCUCCGCCACGCGCCGCCUCCUCCUCCAUCCUCCUCCCUCCGCCUCUUUCCUCCCCUCCUCCUCGAGGUAGACCGGGGUGAGAGAGAGAGAGAGAGAGAGAGAGAGAGGGAGCGGGCCGGGAUGGCAGCGCGCAUGCGCGCCGGGAGACUGUGAGGCGAAAAGGGAAAGCGCUGAGGAGAAGAACUCAACUGAAGGGGAGGGAGAGACAAGCCAAGAAGACUGCAUGAUCCAAUCACGAGGCCGCAUGUCACAGAAAGAACCUAACUUCAAUGCCUUAGUGAUCAGAGUUGUCGUCCAAUUUCCUGGAUUUGAUGAAUACUCUCCACUGACAAAACACAUGAAACGGGGAAGGACCGUGCACACGCAAAAGGAGGAACAGAAAUAAUGCAGAAGCUGGGAUUCAAAUCUGCAAGAGUGAGUGAUUGUGAGACAAAAGCGGUGCAAGUUGGUUGGUUCUGGAUGAAGGAGGGCCAAGCGUAGGGCUGCAGUCCUGUAUAUCAACGCAGCCGUUCGGGACAUGACUGAUCCAAACCGGAGACGGCUCCACCGUGCAGU